ensembl:lncRNA
GUACUUACAGUAGCCUACAGUUGGGUAAUCUGUCAAAAACCUGUAUUAUAAUAAAGUAUUGAAUGUUUCAUGUAAUUUAUUGAAUACUGUUCUGAAAGUGAAAAACAGAGUGGUUGUAUGGGUACUACAGUUUCCACUGAAUGUGUAUUGCUUUUGCAUCACUGUAAAGUUGAAAACUCGUUAAGUUGAACCAUUGUAAGUCGGAGACCAUCUGUAAAAUCUCCUUUUAUUGCUGUGUCGUCGUCUUAUAAGGACACCAGUAAUUGGAUUUUGUGUCAAUCCUAAUUCAGUAUGACUUUAUUUUAACAUAAUUACAUCUGCAAAUACCCUAUUUCCAAAUAAGGUCACAUUCAGAGGUUUUGGAUGGAAAUGAAUUUUUUGGGGGGGGUCCUUGUUGAACCCGCUAUACUAUUUACCAUAUUCUUGUAAACAAGAUGGAAAAAUAUGAGCUGAAUGAAAAGCUUUACCAAAAGUUUUGACUGAUGGAUGUGUGUAGGUUUUCUUUUAGUGAAAUUUUGAAGAGCCUUUGGACCACUAUUAUACAUGUUUCAUCUAUGACUUGGAUGUGGAGAAAUAAUUUGUAUGGCAGAAAGUAAGAAAACCCCUUUAGAGUCCUGACUCAACCACUUACUGGCUAUGUGGCUUGAGCAAGACACACAUCCAUGUUUCAGACUAGGUAAUUCUAAAUCUCUGGGUUCAAAUACCAAGUGAUUCUGACUUAGAUGUAACACACUUCCUUUUAACUACAUAGUUGAAUUAAUAAACAGGAUAAGUUGUGAGGGGCCAAAAAUGAAGAGGAAAGUGCAUAGAGGUUUAACAUGUGAACCUAGGAGGCCAAGAUAUGAAUGACUGGGGAUUGAGUGAAACAGGCAUCAGGCUUGGUAACUGGAGGGCUUGGAGACACAAGAUGAGGUACUGUGAGGCAGAGCAUUGGAACUGAGUCCUCUCCCUAGCUACACACAUCUCAGGCCAUCAGAGCUACUACAUCUUAAAUAAAGAGAUGGAUCAAAAAAAUCUCCCAACAAGGAAGCUGGUCUCAUAACCUUAGGGAGCCCACUCCCUUAUACAUAUCAAUCAGCCACCACAGGGCAGAGUGCAGCAUGCAGGAUUCAUGCAGCAUGGCUCAAUGCUGGACUAGACUUGUGACUUUUCUCACCUAAGUCUCUGGUAAGAAAGAAGCCUCCCUUUGAAUUCACAAUAAUGACCCUUAAUCUUUUAUGGAUUUGGCAUGAUCUGAGAGAUUGACACAAAAAUUGUGAGUGAUUUCUCUGAGGUACCUAGAAGAAGCAAUGUAAAAACCAUUCUGGAGUGACACUAUUUCAAUACAGGCUAUAAAAAAGAACCUGAUAUAAAGUCUUAGUGAAAAUGAAUUCAUAAUAAAAAAUGUAAAGCUCCCCCAAAAGCAAUCUACUAUGAACAAGAAUUAACAGGUAAACAUACACAUACAAAUGGCAGUGUUAGAUUCCUAAACCCAUUAGAUAAUGACACAAUGCAAUGGAAGCUAUAAAAUAUGUAUUUUAUAAAUAGUGUUUUUAUUUAAAAACAACAUCAGAUUUACAGAAAAAUUGUAACUAUAGUACAGAGAGUUUAAACCCACACACAGUUUCCUUUGUUAUUAACAAUUUGUUAUAAUUAAUGAACCAAUCUUUAUAUAUUAUUACUAUUAGCAUUAUUAAGUCAAGUUGAUACUUGUUCAGAUUCUCUGUUUUUACCUAAUGUCUUUUUGUGUUCCAGGAUCCCACCCAAGAUACCACAUUACAUUUAGUUGUCAUAUCUCCUUAAGCUCCUCUUGGCUGUGACAGUUUCUCAGACUUUCCUUGGUUUUCAUGACCUUGACAGUUUUUUAGAUAUACUGGUCAGGUAUUUUAUAGAAUGUCCCUAAGAUUU